UACGGAGGGUGCAAGCGUUAUCCGGAUUCACUGGGCUUAAAGGGCGCGUAGGCGGGUUCCCAAGUCGGUGGUGAAAUCUUUCGGCCCAACCGGAAAAGUGCCGCCGAUACUGGGAGUCUCGAGGGAGGUAGGGGUCGAUGGAACUUCCGGUGGAGCGGUGAAAUGCGCAGAGAUCGGGAGGAACACCCGUAGCGAAGGCGGCACUCUGGGCCGGUACUGGACGCUGAGGCACGAAGGUCAGGGGAGCAAACGGGG
rnacentral:rRNA from 1 species